AAUUUUGCACAAUGGGGGAAACCCUGAUGCAGCGACGCCGCGUGAGCGAAGAAGGCCUUCGGGUCGUAAAGCUCUGUCCUAAGGGAAGAAACGGACGGUACCUUAGGAGGAAGCCCCGGCUAACUACGUGCCAGCAGCCGCGGUAAAACGUAGGAUCCGAGCGUUAUCCGAAUUCACUGGGCGUAAAGCGCAUGCAGGCGGCCGCACAAGUUGGAUGUGAAAUCUCCCGGCUCAACUGGGAGGGGACGUUCAAAACUGUGCGGCUCGAGGGCGGUAGAGGAAGGUAGAAUUCCCGGUGUAGUGGUGAAAUGCGUAGAUAUCGGGAGGAAUACCCGUGGCGAAGGCGACCUUCUGGACCGUUUCUGACGCUCAGAUGCGAAAGCUAGGGGAGCGAACAGG
rnacentral:rRNA from 1 species